AAAAAAUAUCAAUUUACAUUGUACGAAUGCGUAAAUACUUUUUGGAUAUUCGAAGCUAAAAAUGAAACAAACUUUUAGAUCACUCGUAAAAUGCAUUGUUAUACCUUCUUCAUUUUAACAACUUUAUUUGAUUUACUGUUUUAUCAAUUAAAAUAAAACAUUGAACUUCGAUUCGAUGUGAACUACUAGAAUUAAAGUUUUUAUAUGUUUCAUGGCCAAAAACGUUAAAAGGCGCGUGUUACCCCGAUCUCCCUUACGAAUGAGGAGAAGGGAGGGUCGUUCGCGGGAUGAGGACAUAUAUAUAUUUGAUCAUCGCCGGUUCAUGAUUGUAUGCGAUUGUUGAUACGCCAUACACUAUAAGGCUGACACAAAUUUCGAUUUUCUCUUAUGUCACCGCCCCCUCGGAAAAUUUUGGACGAAAUUCAACAUUUUGAGGGGGGACACCAAUAAAUUAUUCAAGAAAUUUUAAAAUUUUAAGUUGAAAUUAGAGUUGCACAGAAAAUUUCUUAACAAAUCCGAUGAGUUUAUAGAUUUUGCCGAAUUGUUUGGGUAUUUCAUCAUCAAAUACAUUUAUUAUUUAUUGUCCUCCCCCUUAGCGAGCCAACGAGUAUUGUGACAAAAGAAGAAAAUGGGAUUUGUUCCGGCCUAACAUCACCUCUGCAUCGGCAUUUGCCAUCCAGCAAACAGUACAGCUCAAAUAUAGUAUAAUCCUAAACUUAGAAAAAUAGUUAACUUUCGAACAGCUAUUGUAAAAAAAAGCGUCUCAUGGAAAAUAAAUCUUCAGAAGCCAGCUAUACAUUCCUACUACUAUACUACUUUUUGUAGUAGAAACCUGUAAAAACAGUAGGUAUUACUUAUGAACUUGUGUUAGUUCAUAUAAUGAAUUUGUAACUGAUAAGCGCAAAAAAACAAGGUACGUGAAUAUGUAUAAGCGAACGCUCAACAAACACUUUGUACGCAUGGAUGCCGCACACGCAAACAACAUUUGAUGCGUAUACAUACGCUGAUCGGUUGUUCGAAUCGUUUUUAGCGUUGUGCGAUGGUCGUGGGUGGGUGGUAAGUGGGGUGGUCUCUGAUAGGAGGUGUGAAGAGACAGACGAUGCUUCUGUUUUGAAAUUGGAGUGCUCGAAUUAUGAAACAAACUUGUUUCGUAGCGCGCGUCGGCAGAUGGCACAAAGCAAUGCUGGUGCGUGUCUUGGAUUAAAAUUUCAGCGAUUACUGUGACAGCUGGUGUCGGGUGUAGGCUUAUUUUUUUCUAGGAUAGGAUGUGACACUUGCAACUUCUCUGUCUAAUUUCACAGCUUGCUGUCUUGUUUUUCCGCGUUGCUAAGAUUAUUGGUCACCAAAUUGGUCUCUUUUGGGCUGACUAGUUGUCGUAUCCUAUCCUAGAUUUUUUUUUUACUUGACGGAAGCUAACGAUCCCUCCGCAUCUGGUGGCAGAAAUGAGAACCCUACGAAAAACGUGACUCCGCCAAAAUUUCCGCAUCGUAGAGAAACAAACGAGCACUUUUUGGAAAGAAAAUUUAAUUCUCUUUCAGGUGCGCUAAGAUCCAGUAGGUACUUACGAACAACUUAUGUGAUUAAUUUGAGGAGCUGUUGCUAUGCCUCCGGCGGGCAAUCUUCCGGAUUUUUUGUUAGCUGGCCAAUCCGGUGUCUGUCGCCGUGGGCAUCGAGAUUAAUGAUACUAGAAGCCAUUGCAAAUGGAAAAUAGCAACUUCUAGAGCAAAAAAUGAGUAAAAUUUGACGAUAAAAAUUCACUUUUUUAUGUGUGGUGGGUGGCAACCAUUCUUAGUGACAGAUUUUUUCACUCUCACAUCCGUCACUGCUCGGCCUACAGUCCUCUAAUCUACCACAUCUCCUUUUGUUGCAGGCUCUUUAAUGUGACGGAGUAAGAGCAAUCGUGAUGGCAUCAUAGGCAACUCCAACGGAAGCUAACGAUCCCUCCGCAUCUGGUGGCAGGAAUGAGAAACCUAUGAAAAGAGGGGCUCCGCCAAAAUUUGCCAUUGCGCAGCAUAGGCAAACUGCACUUUUUUCACUUUUUCAUAUCGAAUUCCGCAUCGUAGAGAAACAAACGAGCACUUUUUGGAAAGAAAAUCUAAUUCUCUUUCAGAUGCGCUUAGAUCCGGUAGGUACUUACGAACAACUUAUGUGAUUAUUUUGAGUAGCUCUUGCUAUGCCUCCGGCGGGCAAUCUUCCGGAUUUUUUGUUAGCUGGUCAAUCCGGUGUCUGUCGCCGUGGGCAUCGAGAUUGAUGAUAAUAGAAGUCAUUACCAAUGGAAAAUAGCAACCACCAAGGCAAAAUAUGAGUUAAUUUUGAAAACGAAAAAUUGAAUUUUUGAUGUAAACAAACGAUUUUCACCUUAUCUCACUUAGCGCCUCUACAAUUGGGGGUCAUUCGAAGUCACCUAUAGGUGUUAAUAAAUUUCUCUUCAUACGUGGACCUCAUUACGAACAUAAAUCGGAUGCUUCUACAUCUAGAUUCGGCAGAUUCUCAUUUUUGUCUUACUAUCACGCAAACGAAUCAUUCUCCAAAACUUGAUGAGAGCAUGCUUAGUUGAACAGACAUCUACAUCUAGACACAGAGAACAGACGUCUAUCUUCGCUUUCUGCCUUGUGUAAAACUUUGUAACGGCCAUCCCGCAUAGAAAAUAACAUUUUGCCUUGAGGUCCAAACAGUAAAUAUCUUCUACCACAUAGAGUCAGUUUACCACAAACAGUCCCCUUUACGUCCAACAGUAUGGAACCUGAAGCGUUGGAUUGUAUAGCACGGUUUAUAUAACCCAUAUCAAAAAGUCACAAUAUGGUAUGAUGUCUGCUCAUUGUUGAAAGAUAAUGUUGUAAGGAAUAGUAGAAACAUGAGUCCACAUUCUGCCAAACAGUUGGUGCUUGAAUUUCAACAUCAAACUAACACAUGCACACUUUACUAUGUUUUACUCAUAGGCAACAAUAUGGUAAACAGUUCCACACAUUAGUUUGUGUGUGCGUCAUUUAUAUUGAAAAAAUGCGGCACGCUGUUUGUUUUGUUUUUCACAAAGUGAAAAAGAGGAGCAGGAUUUGCUUUCAAAGAUCCGCAUUAAUCGUGAAAAUCGGUUGUUACAUAGGAUUCACCAGGAAAUCCAGCUGCUCGAAAGGGUACUCCUCCUAGGAUCCGACAGCAGUCUGCAAUCAGUCGAUUUUCCAUCCUAUCUGGUCUGUAUUCUUGCUGGGUGAAGUCUUCCGUGUUAGUUCUUCACCGGUAUCGGAAAUGCAUUUUGCGAGGAAUUGGACCUGUUUACAAGCCGGACGUGGGAGUCAAUUCAAAGUUCCACAGCUACAUUACCGUAGUAUAUGUCUUCCAGCAGCGAAUUACCGUAAAAGCUGUCCUUCCCGUGCAGCUGCUCCUAAUGGACUCGAGCAUUACUGUUUCACACAGUGAAAUCCGGAUGCAUAAGGACCUGAUCCAGAUCGACUCGACCCUGCCGGACGGGAAGCUCGAGAAGGAAACCCGCUUGAACAAUUUCAAUUUGUUCGUAUCGAUGUUUUACAUAUUUUGGCUGGCACCUACUUAGGGGUAAGAUGAGUAAAAUAAUUUUGGGAAUUCGAUUUUAUGGUGCUUGAAUAAACACAAUUCAAUUAUUUGAAUAUUGCGCUAGUUUUAUUUUAUAUUUUAACUGCAUCACAACUGUAUAUUAUACUACCUUUGAACCAUAUUGCACAAUAAAGCAACAGUUACAUAUACAUUGCCAAUUUUCAUUUCGAUUUUACAGUUUAACUGUUGUAGAACGGUUAGCUGAACAGUGAACUGGGCAAAAAAUGGAUAGUACAUUGACCUUUUGACAAACUGUAAACGAAAAAUUUUGUUCGAGAAAAUUGGCGUUUUUUUAUUGUAACAUAACUUAACCGCCUAUUCCCCAUACUGUAAUUUGCCCGAGAACCAUCUGUCAAACUGUUGAAUACAUUCAUGGUACUGUUGGUUUAUUGUUGCUUUAGAUGUUAUACUAUACUGUUGGGGUACUAUGAUAUAUGAUUUCGAACAGUAUGGCAAACAGUACUAGUAUGGUUCAUGGUUAUGCGGGCACCGACGAAGAUACAGACGGAGCAGUAAUCGUUUUUUUCGGUACCACUUUCGUUUUCACCCUUUUGCAAGCCCCUCUUGUUUUCUGUAAUAUGCUUGCGUUGGUUAACCCCUUGAACGGGCGAAAUGAGCGAACUGUCAAGCGACUUGUCAACAACAUGUUUGUUUGUUUUGUUCGCUUGUCUUUUCGUUACCGCCCCAGCAGCAGCAACACCGAUGGCCCCGAAGAGGAUCAGUUUUUCCGCUAUUCCAUCAAAGAUUUGGCUGCCGGCAGAUCCAGAGACUAAAAGAUUUAGUCGAUAACCUUUCGAGAACCGACGACUGGUUCCGGAAACGCUGUGGCGUCAGUGAAACUUCGACCACAAAACGCUUCUCUCGCCGAUGGAUGGUUUUGUGUUGGCAAGGCCAGCGUGAAAACUGAUUCUUCAUGCCGGUGGAUGUAACGGCCGAUCAGGGCAAAAGUGUUUUUGAGCAACCGGAAUCCGGUUGGACGCAAAUUAAGAACUUCACGGUGCUGCUAUCGCCGCGGACGGUUCAAUAUGGGAAAAUUGUUGAGGAAACUUCCACCAAGGAUUGGUCGACCAGGAUCCAGAAUGAAAUCGUCCACGCGUUACGAUUCUGGGUGGUCUGUAAAUUUGCAGGCUGCCGUUCGACUAAUGAAACAUCCUCUGCAGCUAGUCAGCUAUGAAACGAUCGCUGGUCCAUCAAAAUGAAUUCGCGGUUCCCGGUCCGGUGCAAGAUUUUACUUACGAUGAAACUAUAUGACUUCUUCAGCAAUGUGUCGAUCCACUAGCUGAACAACGGCGCCAAAGUGCUCGGAAGCAACUUGAAGCCUUUCGACGGAAACUAAAGCGGUUCUACAUUUCACAAGGGUCGUGCAAAUUGUGCAGACCGGUUCGAAGGGAGUCAAGGAGUAACGUGAAGCUGGAUUUUGGGAAGGCUUUCGCUAGCCGGAUGCUGUGGGCGUGGCACAAAACCAGCCAGAUGUUCUAGUCGGCGCAGAGGUUCGAGGUGUCCGUAAACCGAAACUUGUCAGCCGGCAACAUUUCGAUGAAUUUAUUGAGAAAUACGCCGAUGAGAAGCGAGUGACGUGUAGUGGCGCUAGCUGUAAGGUAGUUUCGGAUGCAAAUUGUUGAAUUUGAUUUUUAGUAUGUACCUAUUAUGAUUGUGUUAUUCGAUUAGUGUUCUCGAUAAAAUUCAAUGUUGACUUGAAAUAAAUGCUACUUGUGACGUGACGCAGCUCGAACAAGAGGUGAAAAAUCUUCACGUUUAUUCUGCGCGGCGUGUGACACGAUACGACAAUUCUCACCUCGUCGUCACACGACUCUUGUCACGCGAUUCUGGUUGUCGUCUCGAGUGAGGUGAGAGCUUCAUUUUUGAUGUGAGAAUAAGAAUUAACCAAAACAAACCCGAUGUUCAUUCGCCGAUCUGUCAACUUGGUAGAGUUUCACGAUGGCACUCGGGUUAGGGCGUACUCAGUGAAUAUCAACAAUAAUAUUUUCUAUCAAUCUCAAGUAUUUCCAUUUUUAUUCUAUGAAAUACAAAAUUACAUAUUAGAAAAAUCAAAAUAAAACUAUUUCUAAAUUUUAAACAAACAUUUUAUAUAGUUUUGAUCAGUUUACUUGAUUAUUUAUACGCUACAAUUUGUCUUCGUGGCUCGCCCUAUUCGCAACAACGGUGGGUGUUUGUUUUGAGUUUUUUUUUUCAAGCGUAAACGGUGGUUGUGCGAGAAAGCUGAUGCCUCGGAACGGACUUCAGGACACAUUUUCCUCCAAGCGGAUGGCCGGCCAUAUAGAACCGUUUCUCCAAAUUGUUACCAAAAAAAUAAUGAAUUCAAGGUAGGUCGACUUUGUGCAAUUGCGGAACAUUUUAUUCAUAUGGAAACCAAAAUUGCAGAUCCAGAGAACGCAUCGUUUGUUAUAUCCAGCCCCUGGGACGGCGAAAUAUUUGCUGUGAGUUUUUAGCCACUUCAAAACGGUAAAAGUGUUGGGUCAAAUAGGAAGCAUCCGUCGUUGUCACGGUGGACAAUAGUGGAUCCUGGUGAACAAUAUUCGGGAAGAAUAUGCCGGAUGCAGCGGCCGCUCAUGAUGUGCCCAACGGUGUCGAUUUGAGUGAGGCCAACAUCCCAUGAAACGAGCAGAACCUGAAGUUUGCGGUGAUGGCGGAGGGCGUGCGGAAGUGAUACGUGCCAUUUCUGGUUCGUGGAAUGACAUGGAAUACAUACUCCUUAGCUCCGCUUUGAGGUGUGCGACGUUUUACA